UACUGCCAUACCACCGACAUCUGCCUCUGACACUGUGAACCAACAUAAUAAAAUAGAGGCAUUACUUUUGGAGCAGCCAUCAUAUAUUUUGAAAUACUACACACAAAUGAAAUGCGCAUAGUAGACUGAUGUUAAUGUGGAGCUAGCUGAGCAGUGUUGUAAUAAGCUUUAUCUUCACUCACUUCUGCACACAAAUAAGUACACUGCUUAGAUAAAUUCGUGUAAAAAAACUUUCUUGUAUCUAUAGUUAAGAAUGUAACAUAUCAUAUCCCCAAAAUUGAAGCCAUGUGAAUCAGAUUUCAGUUAGACAAAGUCAUUUUUCAUACUAUGACAACCACCAGCCUAAUGUAAGAUUUCCCUUUCCUCUUAAAGGCAGGACUAAUAUUUUACUUAAGGAAAGGAGGGCCCUCCAGGAUUUUAUACUCUGUCAGUAUACAAAAUAGGUUUUGGAUCACAAAGCAAAGUGUGAUUUCAUAAAGUUAUUGUUUUGAUGCGGCUCAAAAUCAUGUUUUCUCCUAGGUAUCUCUGAGAGUUGAGCACAGGCAGGAAUUCAGCAGGUUUAGCACUAAGCCUUCUAUACGUAUAAGCUGUUGAUUGAUGCUCUACCUUCUAAUUACGUGGGUGAGCGGGAAAGAACCAAGAGUUUUUGUUAUAUGCAAAGGCCAGAAGGUAAUAUGAUCUGACUUCCUGUGCAACACAGGCCGUUUGCCAACACUUGAAGUAGCAACACUUUCAUGAAUAUUGGAUUUGUAGUUUCCAUUUAAAAUGUUUUGUUUAUGUCAAGCAAGUGGAAAAGAUGAUAUAGAAAGGCGAUUUAUUUUGCAAGGACAAAACAACAACAAAAAAACUAGGAUAAUUUCAAGUCCAGGCAUUAGGGUUGAGAAGUGGGAGUAGAUUACAUAUCUAUUGUGAGAGUUAGGAAAAUGUUUUGAGCAGCAGGAUAAUCAAGGAAGGAGGAAGAGGAGGAGGACUUCAUAGAACUAUAGAAUAGUUAGGGUUGGAAGGGACCUUUAAGAUCACCCAGUUCCAACCCUCCUGCUAUAGGCAGGGAUACCACCUCCUAGACUAGGUUGCUCAAAGCCCCAUCCAGCCUGGCCUUGAAUGCUUCCAGGGAGGGGGCAUCCACAACUUCACUUGGUAACCUAUUCCAGUGUCUCACCACCCUCACAGUAAAGUAUUUCCUCCUAAUAUCUACUCUAAAUCUACCCUCCUCCAGUUUAAACCUAUUUCCCUUUGUCCUGUCAUUACAUGGCCUUACCAAAUGUCCCUCCCCAGCUUUCCUGUAGGCUCCUUUCAGGUACUGGAAUGCUGCUAUAAGGUCUCCUCAGAGCCUUCUGUUCUCCAGGCUGAAGACCCCCAGCUCUCUCAGUCUGUUCUCACAGGGUAGGUGCUCCAGCCCUCUGAUCAUCUUAGUGGCCCUUCUCUGGUCCCGCUCUUAAGCUCCACAUCCUUCCUGUACUGGGAGCCCCACGCCUGGACGCACUACUCCAGAUGGGGCUUCACAAGAGCUGAGCAGAGGGGAACAAUCACCCCCCUCUCCCUGCUGGCCACCCCUUUUUUAACGUAGCCCAGAAAACAGUUGGCCUUCCAGGCUGCAGGCGCACGCUACUGGCUCAUGUCCAGCUUCUCGUCCACCAGGACCCCCAAGUCCUUCUCUGCAGGGCUGUUCUCAAGAUCUUCCCCUAGUUUAUAUAAGUGUCUGGGAUUGCCCUGACACAAGUGCAGCACCCUGCACUUGGCCUUACUGAACCUCAUUAGGUUUUCAUGGGCCAGCUUCUCCAGCCUGUCCAGGUCCCUUUGGGUGACUUCCCUUCCUUCCAACAUAUUGACUGCACUGCUGAGCUUGGUGUCAUCCACAAACUUACUGAGGGUGCACUCGAUGCCAUCGUCUGUGUCAUUGAUGAAGAUGUUGAAGAGCACCGCUCCUAAGACUGACCCCUGAGGGACACUGCUUGUGACCGGCCUCCACCCUGACACAGAUCCAUUGAUCAUAACCCUUUGGCUGCAUCCAGCCAGGCAAUUCCUAAUCCACUGAAGAGUCCAUCCUUCAAAUCCACACCUCUCCAAUUUAGAGAGAAGGAUGUGAUGAGGGACCACAUCAAAGGCCUUGCAGAAGUUCAGGGAGAUGACAUCCAUUGCCCUUCCCUGUCCACCAAAGCCAACACUCCAUCAUAGAAGGCCACCAGAUUGGUCAGGCAAGAUCUGCCCUUGGUGAGGCCAUGCUGGCUGUCUCGAAUCACCUCUUUGUCUUGCUUAGCUUUUAGGAGGACCUGUUCCGUGAUCUUCGCAGGUACAGAGGUGAUUCCUAGGAACUUUUUAUUUUUCUUCAUCUUAUCUUAUUUCCCCUACCCACCCCUACCCUGUUUUCAUUCAAGUAACCUGUUCUAAAUGUCACAGAUAAGACCAUAAGCAAAAACUCUUCUGUGAACAGGACACUGUUUUAGGAGAGACUCAUGCAAAUGAGUACUUUGCAUUCACUUAAAGUAGUACCAUAUCUUAGGUUUUUAUGGCAUAGCGGAGGACUCCUACAGAUUUUGAGUUUUUGCAAGACGAUCUCAUGCUAUUUUAUGAUGCAGCGCAGCACUCGUGUCAGGGAACAGAAAACUUGAAAGGUUUUGGGAAACUAGAGCUCUCUGCUAGUAGACAGGCUUUGAACCUUUGGCCUCAUAAAUAAGAGUGGGUGGAUGGAUUCUAAUCCACUGUGGAGCUGCAGCAAAACACAGCAGUGUUUAUCACUAGUAACAUGCUUUCAUGUGAAGGGUGAAACUGUUGUGCAUGGUGGAAGUGGGAAGUCUAGCUCAGAAGACAUAGGAAAUGUGAAGAACCUCUAUAUCAUAGAAGCAGGCUUCAUGGCUAUGUAUUACCAAAUGGUACAUUUAACAGAAGUAGAUGUGUGCGGUAAGGGCUGAGGACUCAGCAGUUUAUUUGAGUAUUGGUUCCUCGGAGGACUUUCAGAUCUCUGAAGUUCAUAUUUUCAAGCUUUACAAUGUACGUGGUCUAAUAGAAAUUCCCCUGGCAUCUUCUGUAGGUCUCUGAUACUUCAGGUUUGAUGAUGAAAGAAGUCAGCUAAGUGGUUGGUCUCUAAAUAUAGGAAGUCUUUUAAGUAAGUUCAGAGAAAGAAUUAACCUUUUCCCCUUCUCACACACCUCCUGGCAAUUUGAACAAUUGAUUUUAGAUAGGUAAUGAAGUUUAAUAACAGUAUGAUGAAUACACUUCAGUUCUGCAGCUUAUUUCACAUGCUCUUGAAAACUGAUGGUUAGUAAGGGACAGACCAUUUUUCUGGUAAUUUGUGUAGACAUAGAACUUGGUUUACUUCUCUACUGUUUAACAUCUUUUUCUUGUCUUUACCCUCUAGUUCUACAUCAAGGUAAUCCAACAGUUUAUAGUGGAUCAUUCCUGACCCUUCCUGAUUUGACUAUAUUUCAUAAUGAGAACCAUGUAAGCCAAACACAUAAUGCGUGAUCCAGAAAUGGCUGACUUGGGGAAAUAACUACACUGAUGAUGAACAUCUGUUUUUGAUAUAAAAAUAUUGGGGCAUUUUUGGAAGGAAAAGCUUAUCUUUUGGCUUUUGAUACUCUGCACAAUUUCCGUUCCAUUCAUCAGACCAAUAAAUCUCUGCUAAUUUGCUCCGAAAUAAUGAAGCCGUAAUAAUGAGAAGCUUGACUACAGCAUAUGCUCUAUCAUUGAAAGGCAAGAAGAGUCCACAAAUGCUGUUUUUUUUUUCAAAUAAUGAGGAGCCCUAUUCAGGCAGUCCCUGUAAGAAUGCUUAAGUUCCCAGCACCAGUGGAUAACACAGACCUGUCUCCUUUUCCUGGAAAGCAAGAGAUCAGACUGGGAUGCAGACAUAAAACUCCUCUACACCAGUGCUCUCCAGAAAGCAAUUUGGUUUUCUUUUAUUGCUCUACACAUUCCACAAGAACGUUGAGUUUGAACAGGCUUUUUGCUGUGUCUGCGCGUUGAUUUUGUAUUUAUUUUAAUAGUGUGCCUGGUGAUUUUUGCCUGAAUCUAACUAAUGCAUUUGUAAGGUGCUAGCUAGUGUAAUAAAUAAAUAGAUGGCAACCAGCAGAGUGUUGCUGUAAGAGAAGAGAUGAGGCUUGCUGUUUCUGCAAGCAGCUCUCAUUUGUUACUUCAGAGCAAAAAUUGAGCAUAGGAAUUAACAUAAAAGAUCAGUUCAGCCUUUGUGAUACCCUUGUAUUCUGCCUCCUUAAGCUCCUGUGACCCUGGGCACUUCAUACACAAUCCAAAGUGUCUGUGUUGGUGAUCAUGUGAUGUGAGUUUGGGUGUUUUUUGUUGUUUUACUUUGGUUUUGGUUUGUUCUCUUAACCUCAGCGACCAGGUUGACCAAUUACCUGGAAGGAAAAAGAUGUUUUGUGGCCCAUCAAUCUUCUGGAGAUUGUAGUAUUUUUUCCAGCAUACUUUUGGACGUUCUUGAGAACCACAAAAGGGAGAUCUGCUUUUAAUACCCUUGCUGGGGAGAGGAGUGGUAUUUUUUGCUUCUAAAAGCCUUUAUGCCGCUGGUUGUAAUUUGAAGCUUAAAAACAGCAGGCUUAGAAAUAUUUCAAAGCUCUCUAGAGGGCAGAGCCUGCUACUGGAGGCUUAUGGACAGAUUUUUGCUACCAGGUAUGAUAUCAAUCAAGAAUUCCAUUGAUUGCAGUGCUAUUACUCUGGCAUAACCAGGAGCAGAAUGUGACCCUCAGUUUAAUUUCUGAUACGGCUCCUGGAUUUAUUGGAGCUGUGCAUCUCUGCAGGACCUUUCCUGCCUUUGCUGCAGCGGCAGCUUGAUGUAAAUCAGAUUUCCUUGCAGCUGAAAAGAGUACUGAUUAUAUAUGAAGCUCUAACAACAUUUGCUGGAGUUCUAUGUUCCUGGGACCGGCUUAGGCAUUCAACCAGCUUAUCCUUCUGCCUGUGACCCGAAGUAAGAGAAAAGUGUUUUACAGUAGUAAUAAAGAGAUUACGUUAGAUGAAGUUAUUUUCAGUAGCUAUAUCAGGAAGAUUGAGAGUCAAUUAUUCUGGUCAGGUUCAUCUUUAGGACACAAGCAAAGAAGAGGGCUGAGACAUUUAUACUGUACUAGCAAAAAAAGAUUUAAAGAUACUGUGUUUGCACUGACUACUUGGGCCUUAGCACAGGGAAUAACUCUGGAAUAACUCUUGGGGAUGUCAGUGCUCAUAUUUUGGGAGCUGGAGAAUAUUGCUUCCAUCUCUUUUUGGGUGCUUCCUGACUUAUUUGUCUCUUACUCAGCAGAAAAAAAAAAAAAAGCAGGCUCUGUGGCCUUUGUCACGUGUCACAGUGAAUAUUUGGUAGGGAGAACAGCACUGAGGCUCCUGAUGGUAUUCCUGGGAUGUUUUGUAAACUUCUCUUCUGUUAUAAAAUCUGCUUUCAGAAAACUUUUCAGUGUUCUCUACUGAUCCCACAGAAAUACUGAUGUAUCUCUUAUCUCUCUUUUUUUUUUUUUCUGCAAAGGGAAAUGUUGCUUGAAGAGAUGCUAUAUGCAAUGGCAUGUCAUUCUGCUACCUAUUUUUAAAUAUUCACAUAGACCACAUGUAUUGGAAGGAAAGAUGUCUAUUCUGAGACAGCUGAAUGAGCAAAUUCCUUUUUAAAAGAAACUGAUGAUCACCUGCAGAUGGGGCUGUGCCAUUGGAAGCCAUUGUAAAUCAGAAGCUGUUUCGCUGAACUUCUUACUGGAGCUGUGCAGCACCAUUGCAGAUGAGGAGAUAAUUGUGCCUAAUACACAGUCUUGUUGGCUACCAGCAGCAAACUCAUAUUUCGAGAGUGUGGAGCCUUGCCUGGGGAUUUUUCUUCCCUAUCUUCACCACUGAGUCAUUUAGCUGGCUUUUGGGAUGGAGCUGUUCCUCUGCUCAAGACAAAUUAAAUUGAGUUCCCACUGAGAUGACUUGAAUCUUCUAGCAGAAAAUGAGCUGGAUGUCAAAUCACCAAUAGCACAGUGCAUUCCUCCUGGAGAUUUGGUUUGGAUUAUGACAUGGGGAAUACACAUACCACUUCCUUUAUUACUUCCUUUUUUUCCUUUUAUUACUUCACUUUUGGUUUACAAGAAAGAGAGGAAGAAGGACCUGGAGAACUACAGGCUGGUGAGUCUCACCUCUGUGCCUGGGAAGACCAUGGAACAGAUCCUCCUGGAAGACAUGUUAAGGCACAUGAAUAAUGAGUGGGUGAUCAGAGAUAGCCAGCAUGACUUCACUAAAGGAAUGUCAUACCUGACCAAUCUGGUGGCGUUCUAUGAUGGAGUGACAACAUCAGUGGACAAAGGGAAGACAACUGAUGUCAUCUGCUUUGAUUUCUGCAAGGUCUUUGACGUGGUUCCACACUGCAUCCUAAUCUCUGUGUUGGAGAGAUGUGGAUUUAAAGAGUGGACUAUUCAGUGGAUAAGGAAUUGGUUGGAAGGUCACAGCCUUGGUCAAUGGUUCUAUGUUCAGGUGGAUGCUGGUAACAAGUGGUGUCCCCUCGAGUUCUGUCUUGGGUCUGGUACUCUUUAAUGUCUUUAUUAGUGACAUAGAUAAUGGGAUCAAGUAUACCCUCAGCAAGUUUGCUGCUGACACUAAGCUGAGUGGAUAAAGGAGAAGGAAGAGAUGUCAUUCAGGGGGACUUGGAUAAACUGGAAAGGUGGGCCCUUCUGAAACUAAUAAGCUUCAAAAAAGCAUAGUGCAAGGUUUUGCACUUGGGUCAAGGUAAUCCCAGAUAUGCAUACAAACUGGGAGAAGACCUCCUUGAGAGUAGCCCUGCUGAGAAGCAGUUAGGGGUCCUGGUGGGUGAAAAACGUAACAUGAGCCAGCGGUGUGCACUUUCAGCCUGGAAGGCCCAUGGUACCCUGGGUUCCAUCAGAAGAGGGUAGCCAGCAAGGCAAAGGAGGUGACUGUCCCCCUCUAUUAUGCCCUCUUGAGGCCCCAGCUGAAGUACUGAGUCCAGGUCUAGGGUACCCAAG
ensembl:lncRNA